rnacentral:tRNA from 1 species
GAGGGUAUAGCUCAAGUGUAGAGCACGUGCUUAGCAUGCAGGAGAUCCUGGGAUCAAUCCCCAGUACCUCCA